rnacentral:rRNA from 1 species
GCCGGUGCAUAUCAAUAAGCGGAGGAAAAGAAACCAACAGGGAUUGCCCUAGUAACGGCGAGUGAAGCGGCAAUAGCUCAAAUUUGAAAUCUGGUCUCCUUUGGGGGCCCGAGUUGUAAUUUGCAGAGGGCGCUUUGGCGUUGACAGCGGUCUAAGUUCCUUGGAACAGGACGUCACAGAGGGUGAGAAUCCCGUACGUGGUCGCCUGUCUUCGCCGUGUAAAGCCCCUUCGACGAGUCGAGUUGUUUGGGAAUGCAGCUCUAAAUGGGAGGUAAAUUUCUUCUAAAGCUAAAUACUGGCCAGAGACCGAUAGCGCACAAGUAGAGUGAUCGAAAGAUGAAAAGCACUUUGGAAAGAGAGUCAAACAGCACGUGAAAUUGUUGAAAGGGAAGCGCUUGCAGCCAGACGUGCCCGUGGUGGUUCUCCUCCGCGGGCAGGCCAGCAUCAGUUCGGGCGGUCGGAUAAAGGCCUCUGUCACGUAUCUACCUUCGGGUUGACCUUAUAGGGGAGGCGUAAUGCGAUCAGCUCGGACUGAGGUCCGCGCAUCUGCUAGGAUGCUGGCGUAAUGGCUGUAAGCGGCCCGUCUUGAAACACGGACCAAGGAGUCUAACAUCUAUGCGAGUGUUUGGGUGUCAAGCCCGGGCGCGCAAUGAAAGUGAACGGAGGUGGGAACCCUUUCUUGGGGUGCACCAUCGACCGAUCCUGAAGUCUUCGGAUGGAUUUGAGUAAGAGCAUAGCUGUUGGGACCCGAAAGAUGGUGAACUAUGCUUGAAUAGGGUGAAGCCAGAGGAAACUCUGGUGGAGGCUCGCAGCGGUUCUGACGUGCAAAUCGAUCGUCAAAUUUGGGCAUAGGGGCGAAAGACUAAUCGAACUAUCUAGUAGUGGGUCCC